CUAUCGCAAGCGGGCAUGCGCAGCAGGCAUAUAGAUAGCCAAUCACUACGAGAGACGAAAGACCCCCUCCUUCCCUCCUUCAAAAGGAGCAGCCAAACGGGAAAGGCAAAGGUGUAGGCAAGCUGUGUGCUGUCCUUCUCCCCGGCCCCACCCCCCACUUCCCGCUCUUCUGCACUCUAUAGCAUUUGCAUUUCACACGUGCUGCAAGGUCGCGCGAACACCCCCUCACCGCCGUGCGCGCAUUGUGUGGUGCAAAACAAAAAAGGACUUGCCGUGUGCGCGUGUAUUGAGGCAGACUUCAUAGUCGUUUCCUCUUGCAGCUUUUGGGCCUCUUCUUGUGCGUGCCAGGUUCGUUAUCCACAUCGUAAUGUCUGGUGGCCCACCGCCCCCACCGCCGCCUCCGCGGACAGGCGCAGCCGAAGGCGGCGAAGUACACCCGCUGUCCAUGUUCAGCAAGCGACCCGCAGGGCCGCCAGGGACACCCUAUUCCUCCGUCGUUGACCCAGCGGCGGCGCGCCGGGUCAACAUGCUGAGUGCUUACAGCCAGUACGCAAACCCCGCGGCAGGCGCCAGGGCGCUGCCACCUGCAAGCACAGGUAGCGGCUACGCACCACCGCCAGGGCCCGCGGAUCCAGCUGCCCCACCUCCUCCUGUUCGGCCACUUGUGGCGACAGGUACUCCAGAGGCGGACAAAGGUCACCCUUCACCAUCACCCGCUCAGCUGACCUUAGGCCAGCCCUCUAGCAGCCCGCCUCCUCCACCCCCCUGCGCGGCCCCACCGAAGACGGCAGCCCUCAACACGCCGUGGACACCGCCUCCGCCGCCUCUUUCGCCUGCUACCUCUGCGGGUGGUCCGCGUGUAGGCGGCGCUUCUCGGUACGCCGUGCCCAACUACGCUUUUGGCGGAGAGGCGAAUACGAGUGUCGCCGGCCCGCCUCCACCGGCACCACAACCCGCGGCUCCAUUGGCAGCAUCCCCGCCGCUGCCACCACCACCGCCAGCUGCCCUGCCCAGCGGUGUCAUGCAUACAAUGUUGGAGCACACGGAGCCGGAGGCGCCGUCACAUCCACCGCCGGCGGCCUUUUCUUCGCCGUCCGCUCCUGCCGCAGCCCCCGCCGGACCACUGCUGGCGACUCGCGUUAGCGGCGUGGCCCUCGGCCGGCCUGCCAGCUCGCGCAACUCAAGCAAUGGCCGCCAGUCGCCUCGUGACUUGAGCGAGUUCACCGGUCACUGGGUACCGAGCCGCAUCAGCAAGGAGUAUAACACGUUUUUGGCCGAAGUGAAUAGCCCGAGUGAGACGGCCGCAGCUGCCGCCGUGGUGCAUCACAGCCGUCCCUCGUCACGUGGCAGCAGCAUCCUGGAGGGCGUCGCAGCAGCAUCGGCUGCAGCGCUGGAGGCUGGGGGCCACCGUACACCGUCCGCGCCGGGACACGCACCCAACAUCAGCUCCGGGCUGCGCCGCAGUGUGCCUGCUUUUCUCCAGCCCGGCGGUGGCGACAGCGUCGCGCAGCGCACGGUGCGCGCAGCCUCAUCUCGGGUGGACUCGACCACGACUGCGUCGCGCGGCCGCAAACUACUGGAGGCUGCCCUCACGGCACGCGGCGCCCGCCAUGCGCCCUUGCGCCACACGUCGUUCUCCAGCCUCGCAGCACAUCCUCAGCAACAAUCGUCGGCCUCUGUGCAAAAGAGCCAGGGCGCGCCGGUGAGGGGCAAGGAGGCCGGCGCUGCUCCUGCGGAGCACAGCGCCGGGGCACGCUUGGAGAUGCGUGACCAGUGGAGCUCUGCAGCGACACAUAGAAGCAGCGGUAACGACGGGAGCGCAGCCACAGACGCGUCGCUCUUGGUGCCGGGGCUGGCGACGCUAUGCACGGGCAGCGCUUCGUUGGGGACCGGCUACUCUUUCUCGUCUCGGAGCGUUCGGCCGACCAUGGGCGGCAACGGAGACUUCCUCACCUGCGAUACAGCUCUGCUUUCGAACGCGCGGGCAGGGGAUCCCAAGGGCGAGAGCGCAAGUCACGACGGUCCUCUACAGGCUGACGGGCCGCUACGAAGAGCCGACGCCGAGCACGUUAGUAGCAGCGGUCAUGCAGGCGACGCCGCGGCCAGUUCUCAUCCUUCAGCGCCGCCGAGGAAUCCCAAUGGCCUUAUCGCGGGCGGGAUGACUGUUUCGGGAGCGGAAGCGCCUGCGAACGCCCACACCCACACCCCACGUUUCGACGCGAGGGGAUCGCUGCCCAGGCCAGCCGACGAGCCGCCACAAAGUGGCCUGAGUGCAGAUGACAGGAGUGCCAGUCGACAGGAGCACAGAAGCGCUUUCAUGACUGGCAGUGACCCCACUCUCGCUACUACGACACUCGUCAAUCCAUUCCGUGCAAUGGCCAGGAAGAGCGGCGGCGGCGGCGACACUGCCGCGUCGCCGUCACCACCGCCAACAGUCAGCCGGGAACAGCUAUCUUGCCAGCAGCAGCAGUGGCAAGAUCCCCAGCAGCAGCCACGACAGAAGCUGCUGCUGCAUGACGCACCACACAGCGGUUUUCACAGCGGCGCGCCGCCCUCGGCGCCGUCACCAUCCUACCCCGACGCGGAGGCAAACCUACCAGAGAAACUGUCAAGUCCGAAGGACAUCACCACAACGGAAGACGCCGGCACUGCUGGUCCUCCUCUACCUCCGCUACCGCAACAACAGCAACCGCUCUUUGCCGCAGCCAACGGCGACACGACAACAGCAACUGCGCCCGUGACUGGCUUUACCACGCCGCGAGGGGGUGGAGCGGGCUCGGUGCCUCGAGCACCGCCGCAGAGGCAGCAGCUUCCACUGCCGCCGUCAAACUCUUCCAGCUCAAAUGUGCCCCCCAACAUGAGCCGCGGCCUCUACGCGGCGUCCCCCUACGUGCGCGAUGAGGAUGCGCGGGCCGUGGUCGACGAGUCGCCAAUACCACAGCGGCCUCUACCCUUCGACAGCGUGCCGCAGCUGGAGGCGACACCAAUGGCGACAGCUGAGCAGGACGAGGGCGAGUUUGGCGCUACCGACAGCGGCGCUCUGGACUACACGCACAACAACGGCGCCCACGCUGUUCGUCGCUCCAUGCAGGAUGAUUUGACCGAGGAAAAAGGCGCUGCUGGGCAGUAUCAACCGCCGCCGCCGCCGCGGAAUGGCCUUCACGCUGCACCUCCCCUUUCACCGGCGCAGAAGAGAGGCGCUGCAAACCCUUUCAGCGCCAUCCUCACGCAAGUCCACCCUAAAGUGCUACACGCGUCUCAGCAACAACCGCCGCCGCAGCCAACACACGAGCCGCAAGCGCAGGAGCAGCGCCAAGAGGGGCCGACGGGCCCCUCUGCUCAUCUCAUACCGCAGCCAUCCGGCCCUCCUCCACCAGUUCUGCCGACGAGGACCAUCUCCAAGAGCAGCGCCUUGCCGCUGCUUCCGAACCCGGGCUUUCCGUGCAGCACAAACAUCUCUGAGAGCCCCCUCAGCAAAGACAGCACGCCAGCGCUGAAGCCCUCGCCGCGCAACGUGGCUGACAUGUGGAGCGGCCACGAUUGCCCGUCCUCGUCCAACCCUUUCCUGGAACCGGACGAGAAUUUUCUCUUCACCCCCUCGAACGGACUGCUGCCGGAUGCGGCGAACACCUCCACCAACAGCACAUCAAGACAAAGGCCCCACCAAGCCCUGAUGGGCUCUCUCGACUCAGUUCAAUCGGCGCCGGCACACCACGAGCCGCCGCCGCCGCCCAAGGACGAUCCAGCGCCGCCGAUGGCGUCCAACUCUACCACCGCACCGCUGCUAAACUUCGCUGGCGACGGAGGUGCCCCCGGCACCACCACCGCACGCACGCCAGGUGGCGCCACGCUCGUCAACCCUUUCUCCAAGUCCGCCCAAAACUCCAACUGCUACCUGAGCGCCACAACCGUGAGCAUCAAUGGCAGCGGCGCAUUGUCGGGCGGCGCGUCGCUGACAGGAUCGUUUGCCGGCGGGGCAGUGCGCAAGAAGUCGCGCCGCAGCGGGGCACCGUGCUUCGCCAUCUUCGUCGGCGGCGCCACCCUCUUGCCAGGGGUGCAGGGUGGCAACAGCAGCGAGAGGAGAGGCUUUCCAUGCAUCGCGGCGUGCUUCAACAACCCAAUCUCCUGGUCGCCGCUCAUCGCGAACAGCGCCCGGUCUCCAUUAGUGCAGCCGAUCACCUCGGCUUCCUCACGAACCGGUUCGGUACGAACCACGUCACUAAGUGGAGCUGCUCGCGCUAACACGUCGCCGGUGCCGCGCCCUCUUGGGGUAGGUGCACUGGGAGGCAACAUCGGUAUCUGUCUCAGCUUCUGUAGCGUGACGGAGGCGCUGACAGCGCGGGGGUCGAUGGUGGACCGCAAGGGCAUCCGGGGCACCGAGUACGGCCGGCGCUACGUGCGAGCCUUGACGGACGCGGUGCUGCCGUGCGCCCUGCUCGCGGACCAGUGGGCGACUGGGGACGCAGCGACAGGCGCGGUGGUGGCGGGGGUGAUGGACGCGCUGAAAGGCUGCGUCCCUGCCCCACUCGGUGAGGUGGUGGAGGUGAUGUUGAUGGACGCACUGCCGCAAAAGGAUGGGGACGGCUUUGUGUGGAAGGACAACGGUGGCCGCCGACUCGCCGAGCUGCUUACGGCGGCGGCGCAGGCUGACGCUCGCAGGCGCGCGGCGACCGCUCGUAGCAGGAGCGCCACUGCCCAUCCCGCAGCUGGCGCUAGUGCCACCAGCGCCACGGAGGCGAAUGAUGCACUGAUGGCAAUCUCGCCGCUGAACCCGGUGACCAGCGCCGCUAGAUGCGACUCGAAGGAGCGGGCUGCCGCGCUCCGCCGGGUGGAGGAUCUGCUGUGCACGGGUCAGCGUGUGGAGGCGGUCGAGGCCGCCCUCGAGGCGCACCUCCACGCGCACGCGCUCCUGAUUUCCAUGAUGUGCCCGACCAAGGACUUGUACCUACGGAGUGUCCAGGCGGUCAUGCAGCAGGAGCUUUCGGUCACGUCUCCGCUCGCCCACGCCUACAGCAUGUUCAACGAGAUGCCACUCCCUCCCUUGGUCCCGCCCCCCUCGAAGGCGGACGAGGAGGAUGAGGGGGCGACGGCAUUAGGUGAGGGGAGAAGCAUCUCGGAGGCUGCCCAGCACCAAGAGCAGCAACACAAGCGGCAACAGCAGAUGUUCUUGCGCAAUCAGGAGAUGCUGCAGCAAACGUGGCGCCGCCACGCUGCGAUUUUGCUUUCGAACUUCACUCGCCACAGCGGAAAUGGCCUGCUGCAGCUUGCCACGACGCUCCAACAGGUUCACCUCGUCGUGGAGGCGCACACAUGCUUGCUGCUGCUGCACCUCACACCACUUGGUAUGGCGGGCCCGGCCCGCGCCGGUGCGGAGCCUCUUCCCCCAGCAUCCUCUCUGUCUCCGGAGUGUGUGGAGGAUCUGCUGCCGCGUCCGGAUCAGCGGCAGGUCAUGGAGGAGAUACGGCGGCGCAUCGGCGUCGUCGGCGGCACGUACCACCCCACGCGGGGAUGCCGUGCAAGCUUCCUGACGCCUGUCACGACGCUUCUCACGCAGCUGGUGCAGCUGGUGAGCACGCGGCUCGACGCGCGGGCACCUCCACUGUCACCCCCCGAGUCAGCUGAGCCGCCAGUGCCGUUCCACGGGCUGCCACAUGGCCAGCCUCGGAGCGAUAUUGGGUACCGCAUGAUGCAGGUGCUGUGGCUGCGCGAGUUGGGACUCGGCAAGGAGUCUGCGCAAGCGCUGCACGCAUUGCUGCAGCGCAUGCCCCCACCGCUGGCUUUCUCUCUGCGUGUGCCGCCGCGCACGCUCAAUGAGCUCGUCUACCUCUUUGGUGGCGUGCCGCCGCCGUCGCCGCAGCAGCCACCGGAUGCUCUAGACGGCGCUGCUGCUGCAGCGAGGGGUGAGUCGGUCCCUGAGAGCGAAGCCACCACGCAGCAGCCCUCCGCAAACGCCUACGCCGGAUCCCCAUCACACUCGCGCGAAGUGUUGCCCCAGAACGCCGACGACGAGGCUGACAAGGUGCCUAGCACAAGCAGGUCAACGUUGACGCGCUCUACAUCAGAGGUGCACCACACCGGCCCGCUGCCGCAGCGAAACCCCCAGCAGCGACAGGCGCCGACACCGCAGCACCUCUCAUUGCUCAACCGCGCGUUGCUGCCGUCCUCUCCGCCCGGCACCGCCACUUCUCUACUCACACGCGAUCAGCGCGCGGCCGCCCUCCAGCCGCUGGAGCGGCCAGAACCACCUUCUGACGGCAAGCCCGGCAACGCCAGCGCCAAGGCGGCAACGGCGCCAGCUGCUGGCAAGCUGAAGCAGCCCGCGCCGCGUCGCUCUCGCUCGCUCGAUGUGCUGCGCAACUUCUUCCGGCGCGGCCACAGCGAGGCGGCUGGCGAGGAGAAGUCUGACGAGGCGAAGCCGAUGCAUCUUGACACGGAGAAGCCACCAGCGUUCGACCCUGUGACGGGCCGGUGGCUGUUCGAGGAGACAGAGGAGGAGAAGCGGCUGCGAGAGCUCGCCAAGGCAGGCCCGCCCAAGAUGGCACCCAAGGCUGCGGGGCCGACUUCCGCACCGGUAGCUUCUGCGGCCGCAUGGGGGCCAUCCCCUUCUGAGUCGGCGCCGCUGCAGCGACCAGCAACAGGUAAAGAACCUCAGCCUGGCAACGCGCGUCCUGGCCCAGGCGCACCAACCCCCGUUCAUGCCGGAGGGGGCAUGCUGGCACCUCGCCCAAGUGGUGGCGCUCCUGCAAUUGCGGGCCGUGACGCGCCGCCGCCAACGAUGGCUGGUCGUGGUGCAGCGCGGCCUGGUGGGCGGCCGCAGUACGUGGACAUGUUCAACACGAAUUAGUGCGCCUAAUUCGCUGCAAUGCAAGGGAAGUGAUAGGCGAACUGGACUGCUGCACGCGAGGGGCAUCUUGUGAGUGGGUGAGCUGCGUAGCACGUAACAGCCCCUUCUCCCUCCUUCCCUCCCUCCCUCUCUUCUCCAACGAAUGAAGGAGGAGGAGGGGAGGGGGCUGAGGCUGUGCCGUUGUUUUGGUGACCGUGGAGAGUGUUUUGUCGAGCUCUGCGUUUUAAGCUCUGAUGCCAGUCGAGAGGGCGGGUGAACGUGCCACUGGCACGCGCACGCACGCAUGUGCUUGGCAGCUGCUCCUCCAUAGCCGAUUAGCCGAGGGGAGGGGGCGUUUCGGCGUAGGCGCAUGCGCAAUGUCUGUGUGGGGGUGUGAAGGGUGGAGGAGGUUCUGCUGAUGCGGGGUGUCGGCGCCAUGUGGUCGUCGAAUGCCGUUGCCGCUUCUCUGCGAGUCCUUUCCUUUGUCUUUUUCGUUUGUUGUUGUUGGGCUCCUUCUGCACGUGUGCAACUUUGUUUUCAAGGGUGCGCGCGCGCGCGUGUGUGUGGGCGUCCGUGCGUUGUGGGCCUCGCUCGCUCGCCACCGCGCGUAGCCUGGUGUUGUGUCAAGACACGGCGUACUAACGCAAAGCAAGCAAACAAUCGAGGCGAGAAAAACGAAGGGGGCGAGGAAAGCGUCACGUCCAGAGCGUGUGCGUACGUGAGGGUGCCGUUGUCGACAUGCGUGCUGCUGCGUACCUGCGAGCACACGUGCUCGUGGGCGGCCCCCUUCCUCCUCCCUCCGUCUCUCUCUGAGGAAGCGCCGUCAUGACACAAACGCCUACAAACAUGCCGACGCCUGCAUUUUGUUUCUGUAC
rnacentral:misc_RNA from 1 species